UGAUGAGUCUGUAACCACAUGGGGUUGUUCUCUCUAUACAGGGGAAGAGUUGGAUUGUGAAGCGCAGCUACGAGGAUUUCCGAGUGCUGGACAAACACCUCCACCUCUGCAUUUAUGAUCGGCGUUUCUCCCAGCUCGCAGAGCUGCCCCGCUCCGACGUGCUGAGGGACAGCCCGGAGCUUGUCACCCAUACGCUGAUGGCUUACCUGUCCCGUCUCUCAGCCAUAGCAUGCAGUGAGAUCAGCCGUGAGCCUGAGGUGGCGGCGACGGAGGCUGAUAACAUGCGGAAGCCGCAGCUGGAGCGUGCUGUGUCAUCUUUAAACGUACCAGCAAUUGCGGCAGCCCAUGUUAUUAAGAGCCACGUCGCCCAGGGGCCGGAUGAGCUCUCCCUGGAGGUAAGCAGUU